rnacentral:tRNA from 1 species
GGGGGUAUAGCUCAGUGGUGGAGCAUUCGACUGCAGAUCGAGAGGUCCUCGGUUCAAACCCGGGAUCCCCCU